AAACUACUCUAGGACGUGGUUGGAUAAACGCAUGUUGUUCAGCAGAGGCCGUUAACCUUUAAAGCGCUGAUACGUUUUGGUUUAUUUCAAUUUUUUUAACCCGAAUUGCUGUCUUUUUAAGAAGUCUCUGAAAUCGUCUCCCUUGACAGGGCAAGCAAAACGUGCCUUAAAUCUCCAUCUCGUGGAAGAUCUGCUUGGCUGGCAGCUGAUGUGUGUUGCUGUUGGGUUUUAAGGAACAUCUCUGUGUUGUACUUCUUUUGUUGUUUAGCUUUGAUUUAGUAUUUUUUUCCUUUUUCUCUUUGUUUUAUUUGAUUGGUUGUUUUUGGUCUUUUGCAUUUGGUUUUUCAAAGAGCUUUGGCAAACACCAGAGCCAUCAAGGCCAGGGCAGGCCCUCUCUCCUCCUUCUCUUACUGAUGCUCUUGACCUGAGUUCCUUGAGUGCUCCUCUGCGAUCUGCCAAGGUGCAAAAUUUGCAAAAUUAUCUCCUGCCUUUAAUCCCAGCUUUCUCCCACCUGUGGGAUGCUCCCUCCAGUUCUGUCUGCUGCAGACUGGAGUAAUUUGCUGAUGCUGUACAAGGAAUUGUCUCUCCUGGAGUCCUGGCUGGUGUGAUCAGAACUCACAUAUGGUACCAGAACAAAGGGCCCUUCAGCAACCUUGGGAUGAGACAAAUGGUCCUUGGAAGGUGUCUCUCUCUCCAGUGACCGCAACAGCAACCCAGAAAUGCUGCAGAGUGAGCUCUAGGCUUUCUUUGAGAACAGGAUCUGACCAAAGACCACCUGUGCAAUGGGAAAACCUGGAUCUUUAUGGUGUAUGAGCCUUGACCCCAACCUCUGAAGGAGGAAUCAGACCUGGAGAAAAGUUCCUGCAAUUCAAAGAAAUGAAGUGGCAACUUCUGGGAGAAGAAUGUUGAAACUCAAACCUGGAUUUCUAGCCUGAGUGUCCAUCAGGCCUUGAUAACCAAGCUGCACCAGGAAGAUGAGCAAUAACUGCAUUGCCAUGUGCCAGGGACCAAUGGGCAGAACACCCUGCAGGGGCCUCAGAAGGCUCCCAGCUUGCCUGGUAUCCAUGAAUCCAAAUGGAAAAGAGAAAACGGCAAAUGACACUCAAUCCCAAAGUGAGCCAAUCUGUCCUUGUACCCAGAGAAACAACUGACAGCUGACACAGGAUGGGACCUGCAGGGAUUUCUGCAGGAGCAAAGGCUCCUCUGGGGAAGAUUAAAGCUCAGUGCAAACCCCAAGGUCACUUCUACAUGAGCAGUGGGAAGGGAACAGGGUAAAACUUGGGAUCACCUGAGCUUGCUGGCAUCCAGCAGGGUUGGGGUUUAUUGCACUGGAGAUUCCACAAAACUUUCACCCACCAGGAGCUCUGGGCUCUGCAGAGUCUGAUGGAUAUCCUGAAAAAUUUUGGAGUGACAUUUUGGAGGGUAGCUGGCAAAACACGAGCCAGCAAGACAUUGUAGAAAGAUGAAUUCAUAAGCAGAAAGU
rnacentral:lncRNA from 1 species